rnacentral:rRNA from 1 species
AUUGAACGCUGGCGGCAGGCCUAACACAUGCAAGUCGAGCGAGCGGCGGACGGGUGGGUAAUGUAUGGGGGGCUGCCCGCUAGAGGGGGGUGAAUACUAGAAACGGUAGCUAAUACCGCAUACGAUCGGAUGGACCCGUGUGGGAUUAGCUAGUAGGUGAGGGAAGGGCUCACCUAGGCGACGAUCCCUAGCUGGUCUGAGAGGAUGAUCAGCCACACUGGGACUGAGACACGGUCCAGACUCCUACGGGAGGCAGCAGUGGGGAAUAUUGCACAAUGGGCGAAAGCCUGAUGCAGCCAUGCCGCGUGUAUGAAGAAGGCCUUCGGGUUGUAAAGUACUUUCAGCGGGGAGGCGUUACCCGCAGAAGAAGCACCGGCUAACUCCGUGCCAGCAGCCGCGGUAAUAC